GGGGAUUUGGUCUAGGGGUAUGACGUUUGUUUUGCAAUGACUCGGCUACCGAGUAUGAGACUACAAAAGGUCGGGGGUUCAAUUCCCUCAAUCUCCA